rnacentral:rRNA from 1 species
GAAUAUUGGACAAUGGGGGAAACCCUGAUCCAGCAACGCCGCGUGGAGGAUGAAGGCCUUCGGGUUGUAAACUCCUGUCAGGUGGAGCGAAAAGCAUCGGCGAAUAACCGAUGUCUAUGACGGUACCACCAGAGGAAGCCCCGGCCAACUCCGUGCCAGCCGCCGCGGUAAUACGGAGGGGGCGAGCGUUCUUCGGAAUUAUUGGGCGUAAAGGGCGCGUAGGCGGCCGUGCAAGUCAGGGGUGAAAUCCCUCGGCUCAACCGAGGAACUGCCUCUGAAACUGCAUGGCUUGAGACCGGGAGAGGGUGGUGGAAUUCCUAGUGUAGCGGUGAAAUGCGUAGAUAUUAGGAGGAACACCAGUGGCGAAGGCGACCACCUGGACCGGAUCUGACGCUGAGGCGCGGAAGUGUGGGGAGCAAACAGG